CCAAGGAGUCUAACAUGUGCGCGAGUCGUCGGGUCUUGAAUAGGCCCGCAGGCGUAAUGAAAGUGAAGGGCGACCUCGGCGUCGCCUGCGUUGGGAUCCCCGGUUCCUCGGGUCCGGGGCGCACCAACGGCCCGUCCCAUCCGCCUCGUCGGCGGGACGGAGCGAGAGCGUACACGUUGGGACCCGAAAGAUGGUGAACUAUGCCUGGGCAGGACGAGGCCAGAGGAAACUCUGGUGGAGGUCCGCAGCGAUUCUGACGUGCAAAUCGAUCGUCAGACCUGGGUAUAGGGGCGAAAGACUAAUCGAACCAUC
rnacentral:rRNA from 2 species